CACGCGGAGGUGCAACUUGUCUUCAUUGCACUUCUGGAGUCAAGUCAUGUGGAGCAACCAGAGACGACGCAUGACUCCCUAGCAUGGGGAUCUAAACUCAGUUUGAUUGGGGGCCUCUUUUUCGUAUUAAUUCACCAUAGAGUCAGAUGACGUUGGAAAGAGCACAUGGACGGUAGAACCGUACGAGGAGGAAGGACUGGUGUCAUUAAAGAUCAUUUUCAAAGCCAAACUUCUGACUAGGUGUUUUCCCCUUCAAUGUGGACCAGGCAGCCAAGAAACAUGUUUACAGAUAGAAGGUUUGCUGCAUUCCGUGCGUGACGAGAAGCCUGAGGGGGUGCAGGACAACCAGCCGAGCAACCAACGAGCGUUCAACAGGGGGAUAUCAACGGGACCAGUUUUGAAGACUCGGAGGACAUCAAAGAUGGCUGUGAGGAUAGAGCUGAGCAGGAUCCUUCCAGGACUACGUGAAAGUGAGGCAGAGAUGGCCAGAAUGUGUGCUAAACUGCAGGGGGAUGAGGGUGGAGGAGAAAACUUGGGUCGAAUUUGUAAUACAGUAUUUAAUUAGCCUGCUCCUGAAACUUUUCUCACAUACCUCUCACUUUUACAUGAGUCAGUGAUAAGUCCAUCCAUCCAUUUUCUUUGGCACUUAUCCUCACAAGGG